GGCUAGGGGGCACCAUAAACAAAAUUGCUUGCGUCAAAAGAUGCACACGGUCGAGGGGCUCCGGAAAUUUGAAGACUCGGGCGAAGAAGCUCACCGGCGAUUCAAAAAUUGACUAUGAUUCCAAAAUUCAAAUUUAAAUUUAAACAGUGCCAAAAGAUUCUACAGAUUGAGAGCUUUCCAAAAAGGUAAAGUUUGUCAAAUUUGGCCAAAGGGUUUAAAAGUUAUAAGCAUUUGAAGUUACAGGGGCUUUUCUGCAAAAGUGCCAUUUAAUUAAACCGGGGGAUUAAAAGUACAUUGUUAUUUUUCUAUUAAGGUGCCACAUGUCAGCUUCUAAUUGGAAAUUUGAAGACUCGGGCGAAGAAGCUCACCGCGAGAUCAGCGCGACGCGAAAACGGUGGCGGCGGGAAUCCGGCGCGAACAUGGCGGGCGGCGCGGAGCUUUCGUUCGGGGAGACGAAGGGCCUGACAGGUGGGCACCACCUCUCAGUGGCUGCGGGCGCGCGCUCGGUCGAUUCGCGCAGAACGGGGACGGUUCAGCCCAAAACGGCCAGGCCGGUCCGGUUUUCCCUUUUUUUUUCUUUUAGCCUUUUUUUUUCCUUUUUCUCAUUUCUUUGAUAUCUUUUGAUUUUGAACUCCGAAUUGAUCCAAAUAAAUUCCAGAAAAUUUGUAAAAUCAUUUUUUAUCAUGAUUCAUCUUUUGGGAGUAAUUUCCCUUCAAAAUAAAAUAUCUAAAAAUAUAUUUGCCCUAUAUAACUAUAUAGGGCAAAUAGUUUUUCAACUCCAAAAAUUAUGGGAUAGCUUAUUUAUGCAAUAAACCCAUUUUAUAAAUAAACCCUAUUGGUUUGAAGAUCCAAAGCUCAAAUGGGUGAAAACCCUAGGGUUUAAAAAUGAAAUAAAAGCCUUUUGAGAUUCAAAUUUCAAUUCAAAAUAUGCAAUUGUGGCAUGAUGCUCAUGGAUGCAACGCACAUGUAAAAGUUUGAAAUUUUUUGGAUGUUACAGACCUAACCCCCUUAAGAUGAAUCUCAUCUUCGAGAUUCGGUGUGGUUAGCAAAGAGGUGUGGGUGGUCUUCUCGAAGAUCAUCUACGCGCUCCCAAGUGGCUUCCUCUUCAGUGUGAUGGUCCCACUGAACUUUGCAAAACUUGAUGGUCUUGGAUCGGGUUUGUUUCUCAGCUGUAUCCAAGAUUAUGAUCGGUUUCUCCUCAUAGGUGAGGUCACUCUGUAACUGGACUUCCUCAAGAGGUGGCGUAUCCCUUAAUGGUGUGUCGGCCAUCUCAGGAUGACACUUCUUCAGUUGCGAUACAUGGAAGACAUUAUGGACAUUGGACA
rnacentral:lncRNA from 1 species